rnacentral:lncRNA from 1 species
AUGAUGUUUGUUAAAGAGGAGAGUGAAGAGAACACGAGUGAACCAGAAACCUGGAGAAUAAAACAAGAGGAACCAGAAACCUGGAGAAUAAAACAUGAGGAACAAGGAGGCCUGAUGAAAAUGAAAGAAGAAAGACAAGAUCGGAAUGAGGUGGAGGAGAAAUAUCAGGAUCAGAAAGAUCAUGAGGUCAAUGAAGAAAAAUCAGCGAGUUGCAGCAUUCAACAAACAGAAGUCAAAAGGUCUUUCAGCUGCUCUCAGUGUGGGAACACUUUCACAUGUAACAGAAAUCAGUAAAGGACAACUUAAUGGUCAUUUGGUAUACUCACACUUACGGUAAAAGCCUUUCAGCUGCUCUCAGUGUGGAAACACUUUCAGACGUAAAGAAUACCUUAAGAAUCACAUGUUAAUUCAUGCAGGAAUAAAGCCUUUCAGCUGCUCUGAGUGUGGAAAGAGUUUUACACAUAAAGUAAGCCUAGAGAAGCACAUGUUAAUCAUACUGAGAUAAAGCCUUUCAUCUGUUCUCAGUGUGGAAAGAGUUUUAUAUAUAAAUCAAGCCUUAAAACUCACAUGUUCGUUCAUACUGAGAUAAAGCCUUAUACCUGCUCUCAGUGUGAAAAGAGUUUUACAUAUAAAUCGUCCCUUACGGCUCACAUGUUCGUUCAUACUGAUAUAAAGCCUUUCAGCUGUGCUCAAUGUGGAAAGAGUUUUUACACAGAAAAGACUGCUUGAGAAUCAUUUGGUAACUCACUCUUCAGAAAAGCCUUUCAGCUGCUCUCAGUCGUGGAAAGAGUUUUCACAAGUG